GCCCUGAUGGUCUAGCGGUAUGAUUCUCCCUUAGGGUUGCGACUCGCUGCUCAGUAUGGGAGAGGUCCCAGGUUCGAUCCCUGGUUAGGGCC